rnacentral:rRNA from 1 species
CCGGCGACCGGCGCACGGGUGAGUAACACGUAUGCAACCUGCCCGUCUCAGGGGGAUAAUCGUCGGAAACGGCGUCUAAUACCCCGUAUGAAGCUGGACGGCAUCGUCUGGUUUUGAAAGAAUAUCGGAGACGGAUGGGCAUGCGGCGCACUAGCUAGUUGGCGGGGUAACGGCCCACCAAGGCGACGAUGCGUAGGGGUUCUGAGAGGAAGGUCCCCCACACUGGUACUGAGACACGGACCAGACUCCUACGGAAGGCAGCAG